UUCGAAACCAACCAAAAAAAAGUCCGCCGCGGCCGCAGACGCGUAAUCCCGCGCGACGGCCUCCGCCUCCGCAGACGCCGCUUCCCCGCCGAGCGGCCUCCGACGCCGCUUCCGGGUCCGGUGCCCGCGUCCCCGUCCGCCGUGCCGCCGCGCCCGGGUCCGGCCUCCGACGCCGCGGCUUCCGAAUCCAGCGCCCGCCUCCGCCUCCGGCCUCUAGGUCCGGCGCGCCGCCGUGCCCGGGUCCGGCCUCCGACGCUGCGGCUUCCGGGUCCGGCGCCCGCCACCGCCUCCGGCCUCCAGGUCGGGCGCGCCGCCGCGCCCUGUUCUUCUCGACGCCUGACUCCCGCGCGCCACCCUCACCCGCGGCCGUCCUUGAACUCCUGCGCGCCGCCAUGAACCGCAGCCGCGCUGGCCGCUGGGGACCUCAACCGCGCGACGCGCUGCCCUCGGGACGCCGCGACGCUCGCGCACUCCGCCUGGUUCCGGCGAGCAGAGCUAGGAGGCCGGAGGAUAGGGCCCAUGUAGGCUACCGUUGAUGUUGAGGCCGUGGGGGUCGCGCUCGACACCUCGGAGGACGCCGGUAGCGGCGACGACAUAGAUCGCGGUGGACGGCUGCAUGCACGGGGAGCUGGACAUCGUCUACGACAUGCUUUGCACGCUCGAGGAGGCCGAGGGGAUCAAGAUCGACCUCCUCCUCUGCUAUGGCGACUUCCAGGUCGGAGAUCUGUCGUUGGUCUCGCCGGUGCCGUACUCCUUCGAUACCGCGCUCAGGGAGAGGAGGCAGAGGCACAUGAUCAAGAACAGGGAGUCGGCCGCAGGGUCGUGUGCCAGGAAACUGGAGCUGGUAGCACCCCACUUCACUAUGCUGCUUGUGGUGGAAAUGUUGUCUGUUUUCAAGGAUGUUGAGGAAGCAGAAGCUGCGGCAUGCUUGGAAGGGAUUCAGCAAAAGCAGAAGCCAUAGCAUGCUUGAGUCUAACAGCUUAGGGGGGAAUCAGGAAAGGCCGAUAUUGGAGAGACAUUGCUCGAUGUUGUCACAGCUGGUGACCAUCUCAAUAUGGACAUUCAAAUGGAGGAAGAGUAUAGCAGCUGGUGACCAUCUCAAUAUGGACAUUAAAAUGGAAGAAGUAGCAAAUGGAAGACCACAGAAUCACUGUGAAUAUUGAACAAAAAAGCAGGGACACCAUGUUUCUGUCAUGUGAACAAAAGCAAUUCUGUGAAAAAUGCAUGAUAUAUUGAUGGAUAUAGAAGCAUUUGCCUUAACAGUACUACUGGCAGGCAAUACAAAUGAACAUGUUGUGUUUGGAAAGUUCAACUGAACUCAGCAGUGACCAUACAGGAUUAUAUACUGAGGCAUACAUGUUCAGCACAACUUCAUUUAGAUUCUGGUGUUACAAGAUGCUCACAACUUCUGAAGCGAUAUACAUGUUCAGCAUUUAGAUUAAAAUGCAAACAGAACUGAAUGAACACAAGAGCCUAUGGUUUACAAGAUUUCACCAGUUAGCAGGUGAACCUGUUGCAGGUGAACAUUCUCCUCUGCCAUGCCAAUGUUGAUACGUUCAAAUCAACAGAGUACAACUUCCAUUAUAUAUUACAGAAAGAGUGUAAGUAGAAUUCCAGUUGAGUGUGCAGGGAAGAAAAGGUCACUGAAGAUUCCAGCUGAAUGAAAUACAUCCCUUCUGAAAUACCAUGCUGAUAAUUGCUUCCAAUACGUUCCAGCAAACAAGCAUCCACAAAUAAUUACAAGCAUCCACUACUAUUAUCUAUGCUUGAAAGUGAUUGAUACUGACAUAUGUAUGUAAUUGUGGAGGUCAGUCUCCUCUUUGGAUUCACUGACAGAAUGGUUCAUACAUAUGGUGCAAAGUUAAAUCAAUAAUAUUACAAGCUAAUCCACAGGCAUGUGGGGCACAGUGUUGACAGCCAAAUUUG